AGCUCCAAUAGCGUAUAUUAAAGUUGCUGCAGUUAAAAAGCUCGUAGUUGGAUUUGUGGCGUGGUCGUCCGGCGGGGCUCCUUCAUUGGGGCCGUUUGUCUGGUUUUUCGACCGCACCAUUCUCGGGUAGUGUGUCGCUGGCAUUAGGUUGUCGGCUUCUUCACGCCCGUCGUUUACUGUGAAAAAAUUAGAGUGUUCAAAGCAGGCUUAGGCCGUUGGAUACAUUAGCAUGGAAUAAUGAGAUAGGGCCACGACGGUCUAUUUUGUUGGUUUGCACGUUGUGGUAAUGAUUAACAGGAACGGUUGGGGGUAUUCGUAUUCAAUUGUCAGAGGUGAAAUUCUUGGAUUUGUUGAAGACGAACUACUGCGAAAGCAUUUACCAAGGAUGUUUUCAUUAAUC
rnacentral:rRNA from 1 species